rnacentral:rRNA from 1 species
GAUGAACGCUGGCGGCGUGCCUAAUACAUGCAAGUCGAGCGAACAGACGAGGAGCUUGCUCCUCUGACGUUAACGGCGGACGGGUGAGUAACACGUGGAUAACCUACCUAUAAGACUGGGAUAACUUCGUGAAACCGCAGCUAAUACCGGAUAAUAUAUUGAACCGCAUGGUUCAAUAGUGAAAGACGCUUUUGCUGUCACUUAUAGAUGGAUCCGCGCCGGAUUAGCUAGUUGGUAAGGUAACGGCUUACCAAGGCAACGAUGCGUAGCCGACCUGAGAGGGUGAUCGGCCACACUGGAACUGAGACACGGUCCAGACUCCUACGGGAGGCAGCAGUAGGGAAUAUUCGGCAAUGGGCGAAAGCCUGAUGGAGCAACGCCGCGUGAGUGAUGAAGGUCUUCGGAUCGUAAAACUCUGUUAUUAGGAAAGAAAAAAUGUGUAAGUAACUAUGCACGUCUUGACGGUACCUAAUCAGAAAGCCACGGCUAACUACGUG